UGAAACAAGGGCGCCAGCUCUUGUGGAGUCACCCUUGAAAUACCGCCCUUGAUACAGGUGAAGUCUAACCCUUAACGGGGAACAGUGUAUGGUGGGUAGUUUGACUGGGGCGGUCGCCUCCUAAAGAGUAACGGAGGCUCCCAAAGGUACCCUCAGCACGGUUGGCAAUCGUGCGUAGAGUGUAAAAGCAUAAGGGUGCUUGACUGCGAGACAUACAGGUCGAGCAGGCACGAAAGUGGGGUUUAGUGAUCCGGUGGCACCGCAUGGAAGGGCCAUCGCUCAAAGGAUAAAAGGUACUCCGGGGAUAACAGGC
rnacentral:rRNA from 1 species